ACAACUGCCAGACCAAAGCCAGGAAGAGACAAAGCUGGCGGGCACUGGGUCUUGCAAGGCCAGGAAAGGUUGGAGAGGCUUUCUCUUCCUGAUAUCGAAGCAAAACAGUGCCAAACUGGCAGCUUCAGGAGUUACAAUCCUGUAGACCAGAUCCUGGGGUUCACGGUGGCCAUUGUCUGUGAUUGAUGGUGACAAUGUACCUCCCAGGGACAUGACUUGAAUGGAUCACCUAGAAAUGACAGUUGUCCAUUCAGAACUGUCAAUGAAGAGGAAGCAGCAAAAUUGAGAAAACAGAUACUAAAAAGAAGUACCCAGCUGAGAAAUGGAGCAAAUGUUGACACAGCAGAAAUUUGGAUGCAUGCCAAAUGAGAAACAGAAGGGUCGAUGAAAAAGUAGGGUACGCUCUUUUCCAUAGUGGUCAUCAGUGGUUUGAAUUGACUAUUAAGCCAUUUUUAAUGGUUUAUAUUUGUGCAUUUGCUACUUCAUUUACCAAAUUUGUAUAAUUUCUGUCCUUUUUUGAUAGCACUUAUCCAAGCUUUAUAAAGCCAAACUUUGAAUACAGUAGUUGUUUCAAAAUAUAAACAAGCAAAAAUGUUGAGUAUAUAAA